rnacentral:rRNA from 1 species
AUUGAACGCUGGCGGCAGGCCUAACACAUGCAAGUCGAGCGGAUGAAGGGAGCUUGCUCCUGGAUUCAGCGGCGGACGGGUGAGUAAUGCCUAGGAAUCUGCCUGGUAGUGGGGGAUAACGUCCGGAAACGGGCGCUAAUACCGCAUACGUCCUGAGGGAGAAAGUGGGGGAUCUUCGGACCUCACGCUAUCAGAUGAGCCUAGGUCGGAUUAGCUAGUUGGUGGGGUAAAGGCCUACCAAGGCGACGAUCCGUAACUGGUCUGAGAGGAUGAUCAGUCACACUGGAACUGAGACACGGUCCAGACUCCUACGGGAGGCAGCAGUGGGGAAUAUUGGACAAUGGGCGAAAGCCUGAUCCAGCCACGCCGCGUGUGUGAGGAAGGUCUUCGGAUUGUAAAGCACUUUAAGUUGGGAGGAAGGGCAGUAAGUUAAUACCUUGCUGUUUUGACGUUACCAACAGAAUAAGCACCGGCUAACUUCGUG